GCAAAGCCCCCCUAAAGGAACAUUCCACGCAUCCAUACGGAAUAUUCCAGGCCUUCCAAGCUGGAGUCCUCCUGCAGGCAGGAGGGCCUGCAGUGUGGCCUGGUGAUCUCCAGCCACUGAGGACAACACCUCUGGGUGCCACAUCGCUGGAAGAGAAGGGCCUGGCUGGGAUGUCACUGAGAGAGACACAGACUGCAGCCGGCUUCAGCCCGAAGGAUGCCCAUGGGGCCUGCACCUGCAGAGUCCGAGAUGGGAAAUAAUCUGGAAAAACCAUUGCAUGUGUUCUGAAGAUGUUCAGCCCUUUUUGCUCCCCACUGUCAUUGUCCCCUAAUUAAA